UACGAAGGGGGCUAGCGUUGCUCGGAAUCACUGGGCGUAAAGGGUGCGUAGGCGGCGCGGUAAGUCGGGUGUGAAAUCUCGGAGCUUAACUCCGAAACUGCAUUCGAUACUGCCGUGCUUGAGGACUGGAGAGGAGACUGGAAUUUACGGUGUAGCGGUGAAAUGCGUAGAUAUCGUAAGGAAGACCAGUGGCGAAGGCGGGUCUCUGGACAGUUCCUGACGCUGAGGCACGAAGGUCAGGGGAGCAAACGGG
rnacentral:rRNA from 1 species